rnacentral:rRNA from 1 species
UACGAAGGGGGCUAGCGUUGCUCGGAAUCACUGGGCGUAAAGCGCACGUAGGCGGCUUUUUAAGUCAGGGGUGAAAUCCUGGAGCUCAAACUCCAGAACUGCCUUUGAUACUGAGAGGCUUGAGUCCGGGAGAGGUGAGUGGAACUGCGAGUGUAGAGGUGAAAUUCGUAGAUAUUCGCAAGGAACACCAGUGGCGAAGGCGGCUCACUGGCCCGGUACUGACGCUGAGGUGCGGAAAGCGUGGGGAGCAAAC